GGCAGUAGUAGCUCAGUGGUUAAGAUGUUGGACUACUGCUUGGAUGGUUGUGAAUUCAAAUCCCAGCUUUGCCA